GACGAACGCUGGCGGCGUGCUUAACACAUGCAAGUCGAACGGAAAGGCCCUGCUUUUGUGGGGUGCUCGAGUGGCGAACGGGUGCGUAACACGUGAGUAACCUGCCCUUGACUUUGGGAUAACUUCAGGAAACUGGGGCUAAUACCGGAUAGGAGCUCCUGCUGCAUGGUGGGGGUUGGAAAGUUUCGGCGGUUGGGGAUGGACUCGCGGCUUAUCAGCUUGUUGGUGGGGUAGUGGCUUACCAAGGCUUUGACGGGUAGCCGGCCUGAGAGGGUGACCGGCCGCAUUGGGACUGAGAGACGGCGCAGACUGCUACGGGAGGCAGCAGUGGGGAAUAUUGCACAAUGGGCGGAAGCCUGAUGCAGCAACGCCGCGUGCGGGAUGACGGCCUUCGGGUUGUAAACCGCUUUCGCCUGUGACGAAGCGUGAGUGACGGUAAUGGGUAAAGAAGCACCGGCUAACUACGUG
rnacentral:rRNA from 1 species